CUUCUGGGCAAGUUGCAAGCAUAGAAGAUUCCCCAGUAAAAACAUAUGACUACAUGUAUCAAAAUUCAAACCCAUUUAGCAUUGGUACUUCCUUUAUUUCACCAAACAUAAAUCCCGUUUUCAAAAG